GUCUUAUUGAUUAUAAUUUUAAGUCUAAUCUGCCCAAUGAGUAAUUAAAUGGCUGCAGUAUUUUAACUGUACAAAGGUAGCAUAAUAAUUAGUUUCUUAAUUAGGAACUGGAAUGAAUGAUUGGACGAAAUAGUGACUGUCUUAGUUUAAAUUUUAGAAUUUUAUUUUUGAGUUAAAAAGCUUAAAUUUUUUUAAAAGACGAGAAGACCCUAUAGAAUUUUAUAUUAUUUGAAUAUUUUGUUAUUAGGAUUUUAAUAUAGAAUUUUUUAAUUAGUAUUUAGUUGGGGUGAUUGAAAAAUUUAAUGAACUUUUUUUUAUUAUUAACAUUAAUAUAUGAUUAUAUGAUCCAGUUUUUUUGAUUAUAAGAUUAAAUUACCUUAGGGAUAACAGCGUAAUUUUUUUAGAGAGUUCUAAUCGAUAAAAGAGAUUGCGACCUCGAUGUUGGAUUAAAGUUUAUUUUUAAUGUAGGAGUUAAAAUAUUAGGUCUGUUCGACCUUUAAAAUUUUACAUGAUCUGAGUUUAAACCGGUGUGAGCCAGGUUGGAUUCUAUCUUUAAUUAAAUUAAAUAUUUUAGUACGAAAGGACCAAGUAUUUAUUAUAAUAAUUUUAUUAGAA
rnacentral:rRNA from 1 species